CUUGACCUAUAAUAACUCCUUGGAAACUUGUACUUUUUCUUCCCCUGUCAGAUGUCUGGACUUAAAGGAUCCAGCAGAGGAUUUGGAGGCUCCAGGGUAUGGCUGAGCCCAAGAUGUCAAAGUCUGGGUCAGUGAAUCACAGUAUGGGAGGCCAGUUGCUGAAUGUCUAUACUAAUUGUUACUUCAGCAAGCAAUCAACGACAGUUCUAGGAGUUAACGGCAGCUUCCUGAGCCAGAACAGACCGAGAGAGACUCCUGGGGAGCUUUGAAAAAAAGAAAUUUAUUUCUCAUGGUUCUGGAAGCUGGGAAGUCCAAGAUCAAGGAAGCAGCAA
rnacentral:lncRNA from 10 species